rnacentral:rRNA from 1 species
AUGCAGGGAUCGUUGGUGAGGAUGGGUCCUUGCGGCGGCAGCGGUGGCAACAUCAGGGAGACGGGCAUGUCGGACGUCAACCGAAUCGUCCAGGUCAUCCUCCGGCACGGAAACGCCAUGGACACCAUUUCCGUCAUGUACGAGUGGAAGGGCAAGGAGGUGUGGACCGACAGGUGGGGUGGCGAAGGCGGCAAGCCCUCCCCGUUCAGUCUGCAGCAGGAUGAGUACCUGACGAGCGUCCAUGGCCACUACGGUGAAUUCAAUGGCUUUGUCGUCGUAAGAUCGCUGACGUUCGCCAGCAACCUUCGCAGUUACGGGCCGUACGGUAAGGAGGACGGCGUGCCGUUUGCGCUCCACGCCGGCCCCGGUGGCAAGAUCAUCGGCUUCCACGCGCGAUCCGGCCAAUUCCUCGACGCGAUUGGCACGUAUGUGAAGAUGGACAAUUAA